rnacentral:rRNA from 1 species
UUGGAGGGCAAGUCUGGUGCCAGCAGCCGCGGUAAUUCCAGCUCCAAUAGCGUAUAUUAAAGUUGUUGCAGUUAAAAAGCUCGUAGUUGAACUUCGGGAUCAAUGGAUUGGUCAUGCCGAUGGUAUGUACUGGUCAUAUUGGUUCUCACCUUCUAAGGAACCAUAAUGUCAUUCAUUUGAUGUUUUGGGGAAUUAGGACUGUUACCUUGAAAAAAUUAGAGUGUUUAAAGCAGGCUAACGCUUGAAUACAUUAGCAUGGAAUAAUGAAAUAGGACAUCGCAUUCUAUUUUGUUGGUUUCUAGGAUCGAUGUAAUGAUUAAUAGGGAUAGUUGGGGGCAUUAGUAUUCAAUUGUCAGAGGUGAAAUUCUUGGAUUUAUUGAAGACUAACUACUGCGAAAGCAUUUGCCAUGGAUGUUUUCAUUAAUCAAGAACGAAAGUUAGGGGAUCGAAGACGAUCAGAUACCGUCGUAGUCUUAACCAUAAACUACGCCGACUAGGGAUCGGAUGAUGUUAAUUUUUUAAUGACUCAUUCGGCGCCUUACGGGAAAC